rnacentral:lncRNA from 1 species
UGAAAAGACAAGCAUUGUUGUGACAAUAGAUGGAUUUUUUCCCCCUUAGGCCAUCUUUUUAAGGUUCUAGUUUUAUGUGAGGAUUCAGUUUCCCCUUGCUAAUUUUCAUGGACCCUUGUCCCCAUGUGAGUAGUAAAACCUAAUCCCUGUAGUCAGUGAGCCUGAGCAGUGCUCCUCAAGGCAGAUACACGUCCCACAGCUUACUGAUUUUGUUUCAGUUCCCUCUUUGUACCUGGCAUUUGGGGAGUUUUCUACUUGCAAGCUUAGCCCUAUACUUAAUGUGUGUUCCAUUUUAUUCAAAAUAUCUUAACUUUCUGGUGGAAGGGUUUUUGAGUUAUCUGGCCUACCCACCAUAUGGCUGGAAAUAGAACUACCAAUUCAUUCUUCAGGCUUGCAGCCAAAGAGACCUGUCUAAAAUACAAGAUUUUGUCACCAGCCUUGCAUAAAACUCUUGAAUGGCUCCCCAUUGAUCUUAGGACAGACACUGAAAUCUAUAAUCUAUAAGGCCUUGAAUGGUUGGGUCCAUACCUGUUUCUCCAGUCUCAUGUUGCAUCAUAUCCUUCUCAUUCUCUGUGUUCUACUCAUACUAGGGUUUUUUGGUUUCUGGACUGUACCUUACUCCUCCUUACCAUAUCAACUUCCCACAUUCUGUUCCUUCUUAGUGGAACACCCCUGUGUUCUCUCAGGAUUCACCCUUCAUAUCUCAACAUAAUUGCAUCAUGGCAGUUGUCUAGGUUGAGUUUCCUCUGGCUCAUGUGUUUGUUUCCUCAGAUACCUAUCCUUUAUUAUACUUAUCACAAUUGUGUUUUUACUUUUAUUUUUGUAGUUAUUUUAUUAAUGUCUCUUUCACCCACUGGGCUUCAGGCUCUGUGAAGGCAGGGGCUAUAUCUGUUUUUGCUUUGUGUUUUUGUUAGUCAGUAAAAGUAACAUUAGCUUCUACACUCACACUAACAUAAACAAUCCUAAAAUCUCAGCUGUUUAACAACAUUAAAAUUGGAUUCCUUUCACCAUAGUCCAAAGUGGGUCAGGGCACUCUUCUCCAACUGGAUCCCCAAAGACCCAGGUUGCACGCCCAUCUUCAGCAUGUCACCGUCAAGAGUCACAUUGGAAGGGAGGAGAAGGAAGGGCCAUGAGGAGGGUUUCUAUGAGCCAGGCCAGGCAUGCAUCUCUCCCACCUACAUUCCAUUGGCCAGAGCUCAGUCAUAAGGCCCCAUUGUAAAAGAGCUGGGAAAUACAGAUUGUCUGUGAGCCUGGGAAGAAGAGGAGAAAAUGAUUAUCAGCAGGCAUUCAAGUCUCUGCCACACCAUCCUAUUUUUAGCAAAGAAUAGUUCCUGGUAAUAGGAAGUUCUUGAUAAGCACAAAUUGAAUGUAUCAAUGAAUAGAUGGCUGGCUGGGUGGUUGGGUGGGUGGGUGGGUGGAUGGAUGGUUUUGCUGUCAAUGAAUGGCUCAUUAUUCAUUUAGUCUGUAAGCUCUUUAAAUACAAUGGCCAUAAUGACCAUAUCUUUAAGUAUAAUGACCAUAUGUUAAGUAUAAUGACCAUAUCUUUAAGUAUAAUGACCAUAUGUUAAGUAUAAUGACCAUAUCUUUAAGUAUAUUGACCAUACCAUAUUGUUCAUUAUGAUAUCCCCACUGCUAGAGAAGUUUUUGGCACAAGUAGAAGCUCACGCAGGAAUGAAUAAUUACCACUGCUUGGGAGAUUUCAUGAAGGAGAUGGAGUGCUAGGGGGUCCUUAAAGAAGGGUAUGAAAAGAAAUUAGGAGGGCAACUUAAGAAAUAAAUUUGUAAAGACAUGGGAUGGAUAGGGGAAAAAGUAGAAAAAAUGAUGAAAGGUUAGUGUGCCUAUAGCUGAGGGUAACAAAGGAGGGAAUCAAUGGCGAGUGUGCCUAUAGCUGAGAGUAACAAAGGUGGGAAUCAAUGGCAAGAAUGAAGAACCUUACAGAGGUAAUAUUUCACCUGGCUAGUGUUAUUUGAACACCAUGUCUGCUAAGUUGAAAAUUCCUUCAUUUUCUCUUUCGAUGUAUGAUAGCCUUACACCUAGGAAUAAGGUUGUCUCUUCAGUGAAACAACAUCUUUCCCUCUCCCUUCUUGACCCUUACUGACUAAAAUGAGUACUAUGUGCACAGUAAGUGUGUAUUUGGAUUGGCCGGAAGUUGGUACUGUGAAAGUCACUUUGCCUCUGACCACGCAGAAUGGAAAACCACAGUAGUUCCAGCCCCAGCUGUCAGGCCAGGAUUUCGCCCUAGCCCUUUUCCAAUCAAUACUUAAAGCCUUCAAAGCCAGCUCCUGCAGAAGAGAGAGGGCCUGGCAGCUGAGGUAUGGUGUGCCCCCAUUUUCUUGCUCCCCUUAAAAGAGCUUCAUGUGUGUCUGUAUGUGGUGGUGUGAUAGGGAGACGCACGAAGAAAUGCCUCAGGAACUCUCCUGCGACACGUGAAUGGUAUUAUCUUUUCAGAACAAAACAAUAUCUCUUCCUCUUCCACCCCCGCCCCCCCAAAAAAAACCCCAGAAAACAAAAAUAUCCACCGGUUCUAUGAGUUUGGUUGCAGCCCUUCUUCUGUUUUGGUGAAUGUGUCACCCUCCACCAGUUCACAAUGAACAUGUACCUGCACUGUCCUCUUUGCUGUCAGACUAGGGCAUGUCAGACUAAGCUGCCGAGAGAGAGAGAGAGAGAGAGAGAGAGAGAGAGAGAGAGAGAAUAUGUGUGUGUGUGUGAUCACGCCUACCAUAUUGGCUUCGUGUCCCUGGAACAUCAGGUUUUCUAGCUGGCUGAGCCUGUCCCCACACUCAUUGUUGCCACUGAGACCAUCCCAACUCCUACCCUGUAUGCUCCAGGCCUGUGCUAUACAGGGUUUUGUUAAGCCGGUUAGUAUUAAUUGAUUUUUUUUUCCAUUUUUUUCUUUCUUUCCCUGGGCGGGUCAAUAGCUGGAUGCUUCAGGAGCAGAGGAUCUAUCAACUGCAGACCAAGCAUAGGGAGACGCAGGCAAACCUGGAACAGUAACCCAGCCAGCUCCAAUUGCUCCGACAGUAUUUGGUGGCCAGAGUCGGCAGCAGAAAGCAUGCCCCGGGCCAUGAAGCAGGAAAUCAACUCUGACUCAAUCCUUGAGGUCUGGUAAGUUUCUUUACUUUUGGAAAGUAAGGCAAAUGUUAACCAAGUCUUUAUUUCUUGCUCAAGAGAGUCAGCAGUAUCUGGGCCGAUUUCAGUGAGUGAGCUAAAGAUCAAAAUUGGAAUGCUCCAGCAGAUCUGGAAGGAUGGAGGGUUUGGAGGAAGGAAUAGGGGCUUGCGGUAUAGACAAGGGCUAACCAAACUCCGAUUUUAAGGUGAGCCACUGCAGCCAAGCAGAUGUCCUGUGUAUUGAUCCCUGCAUCCUGUUAUUGAUUUCCUCUUGGGGCCAAGAAUGGGGUGGACCUAUGCAGGACAAGAGGGGAACUGACACCCCCCCAGAGGGCCAAGCAGCCCUAAUCGGUGAUAACAGUGUUAAGUGGUCAGCCUGGAGAUGAGGUUUGCUUAGAUCUAUUGAUCUGCACUCCCCUGGGAUAUAAAUCCUUCUGAAUUUGCUUCCAUGGAUAUAAAUAUUUAUAAUUAAAAUAGCCUAGGAGCUUCUUACAGACACAGAGAGAGUGGCCCAUCCCAGGGUAAGGCUUGAUACCAAUCUCUUUAGUCUCCGUACUUGGUACACUCUUCUCACUGUCUUGCAUCUGUUUAUACAUCUCUGUUCUCUGUUUUGAACCCUAUUUUGCUCAGCCUCUGAGUGACAGGCACAAUAUCUCAGACUAUCAGAAGCCAGAAAAAAUCCAUUCUUUCUGAAUGCAGCCUCCAGCUGAGGAGGGAGUGCUGAUCCCCCAGCCAAGGCUACACAGUUUCAUGUGCAUUCAGGAGCCUGGACUCAGAAAGGAUUGGGCUAUUUGGGGGGCAAUGAGGGAAGACAUUUUUAGUUGUUGCUUUGUUUUUGCUUUGACUGAGGCAUCCAUUUGGAUCCAGUAACAAACAAGCUUUGUAGAACAAACAUGUUAGCCAAUGCUAAAAUCCUGUGUUGGCUCACUUGCAGUAUUACAUCUGGGAGUACAACUUGAAGGG